rnacentral:rRNA from 1 species
AUGAAAUUUCGAUAGAUCCCUUCGGGGUGAAGAUGAAAUGGAUUAGCGGCGGACGGGUGAGUAACACGUGAGUAACCUGCCUUAGACAUUGGGAUAGCCUCGGGAAACCGGGAUUAAUACCAAAUGAAAUCACAUAUGCACAUGCAUAAAUGAUCAAAGCUCCGGCGGUCUAAGAUGGACUCGCGUCCCAUUAGCUAGUUGGUGAGGUAACGGCCCACCAAGGCGACGAUGGGUAGCCGGCCUGAGAGGGUGAACGGCCACAUUGGAACUGAGAAACGGUCCAAACUCCUACGGGAGGCAGCAGUGGGGAAUAUUGCACAAUGGAGGGAACUCUGAUGCAGCGACGCCGCGUGAACGAAGAAGGCUUUCGAGUCGUAAAGUUCUUUUAUAUGGGAAGAUAAUGACGGUACCAUAAGAAAAGCCCCGGCUAACUACGUGCCAGCAGCCGCGGUAAUACGUAGGGGGCUAGCGUUGUCCGGAAUCACUGGGCGUAAAGGGUUCGCAGGCGGAAAUGCAAGUCAGGUGUAAAAGGCAGUAGCUUAACUACUGUAAGCAUUUGAAACUGCAUAUCUUGAGAAGAGGCUAGAGGUAAGUGGAAUUUUUAGUGUAGCGGUGAAAUGCGUAGAUAUUAAAAAGAAUACCGGUGGCGAAGGCGACUUACUGGGCUCAUUCUGACGCUGAGGAACGAAAGCGUGGGUAGCAAACAGGAUUAGAUACCCUGGUAGUCCACGCUGUCCCACGAUGAGUGUAGGUACUGGAAUAAUUCGGUGCCGCUAGUUAACACUAUUAAGCACUCCGU